rnacentral:lncRNA from 1 species
CUCUUUAAUAGUGGCAAUAACAGAUAAAUGCUUUUAAGGAUUACAAUUCGUCAGAACGGGAGGAGGUCGACCCAUCACGAUGUUCGAUACCCCUUUAAUAGUACAGAUAAAGCAAGUGGUACAUGGAUUAGCCGGGGAAGUGCAUGAUGGUCAUCAAACUGCGGCUAAGACCUGCAUGACCCAAAGCUUAAAAAUGAUCAUGGACGAACAAAACAAAGACAAAUUGGGAACCAGGCAGCUUAAUUCGAUGCAAACUCAGGGGCUAUUCCUUUGUAUCCAGCUAAACCCAUUUUAAUAUGACAAACACACACAAUGGAAAAAAAGCUCAGGAAUCAAUGACCCAUAAUUCCUAUUUAGAUCCAAAUUAGUGAAAUCAUUCACACUCCUCCAUCCUGCAAGUAGUAUUGUAGGCAAGACUGGUAGGCAUAAAAGUAACGAGACUCAAAGAACUAUUCUCAUGUUAAACACAAUUUCAAAACUUGGCAUGUACCGUUUGGAUUGACCUAUAUGUGUAUUCUAUGGGGGN